GAAAUACAAAUAAAAUAAAAUAAUGUAAAAUCUUAUUUCUCCCAGUAUUUCUAUACUGAAACUUCCUAUACACACUUUUAUUUUGUUUAAAUAUUUAUUUAUUUAUUUAUUUCAGAGAGAGAGAGAGAGAGAGAGAGAGAGAGAGAGAAAGGGGUUGGGGGAAGGGUUUUCCCAUCCACAAAGGCCUGUGUCAGCGAUGGAUGCCGGAAGCCAGGAACUCAAUCUAGAUCUCCCACGUGGGUGGCCAGGACCAAUCAUUUGUGCCAUAACUGGUGCCUGCCAGAGUCUACAUUGGUAGGAAGUUGGAGUCAGGGACAGUCAGGUACAGGACCCAGGAACCAAUAUGAGACACUGGUAUUUUUACCACUAGGCUGAACAUCUGCUCUCAAUUUAGUUUUUAAGGCCUAAUUAGGCAUCCCCAUGAAAAGUACACUCCAUAGUUUCAAAACUACUUUAUUAAAUGAGUAUUUUAAAUUCUCACUCCAUGGUGGGCAAUUUACUAGGAAAUAAAAUUCCUUGGGAAUCCAAGGAACGCAUAGCUUGGGGAAGGAGGAAGCCCCGGGUCAUUCCUUGCAGUCACAAUGGAACAAUCAAGUCGUAUAGAAGGCACAGUACAAGCGCAAAAGUACUGGAGGGCAGGCAUGGUUACCACUGCCACAGUGGGACUGGAAUGCUUCACAGAGAUGCCUGUACCUAUGCUCGGUCUUAAACUAGGAGCAGAAGAUUCAUCACACAGAUCAAAAGAUGACCCAGAAGGAGAGCAAACAGCAACAGCCAACCCAAGGGUCCAGUUCAUUCUUUCCGGAUACCCAAGUAAGCACUGUACCAGUGCUCCAGCAAGGUGAAUAGCUGUGCCUCUCCACUGCUUUGUAAUGUUUCCUGUACAAGUCUUAGUUUUAAAUCAUUAUUAACUUCUUGAGAACAAUGGCCAUGGGUAUAGAACAGGACUGUGCACAUCAGAGGCAUUCAACACAACCUUGUAACAGGACCAACAAGGAGUGAAUUGGAGUCUGAGUUCUGUCAACUCAGCAGAGCCAGGAUCAGACAAGUUGUGUCCUUUCAGGACAACAUGAAGGUAUGAUUCAGGUUCUAUGUGAAAUAUCGGCUGUGUGCUGAUACAAGCAGCCUCCGGCUCUGCUGAGAACUGGAAGAAAAGUCAAAAUUUUAAAAUAUUCCUUCUAUUCAUCCCUUUUAUGAAAUUUCAUUUUUAC
rnacentral:lncRNA from 1 species